GAAAUACCCUUUUUGUUCAUAUCAGUAUUACAGGGAGCAACCAUGCAAGGUUGUGACCAAACAAUCCUGUAGAACAGUUGGGAGAAGAACUGGAAGGGCCCAUUUAUACAUACGAACUGUUCAUUAUCAUAAAAGCCUGGAAUAAACAUAGAUAUGCAGAUCACCGAUACGUAAUUCACUGCACACAGCGAAUCUCCUGUUCGGGGCAGCCGUUGGGUGCUACAAUUGGACCCGUGGCUAAUCAUUUGUCCGCGCUGGCUUUUGCUUAUGUUGGUGGGUUUCUUCAAAUUAUUGCAGACAAUAUAGCUUCCUUCUUCUUGCUGAAUUCCUUAUAAUCCAGUUCUACAUAUGGCAUUAUCUGCUUUACAUGAUCAGCAUGCAGUCCAUUUACAAUUGCUUAAUUAUGUUUCCAAGGAAAUACAUUGGAGGGUUGUGUGCCAAGCAACCACAUAGGUCAAUUCAGAGACUAAUUGAAGAAAGAUACGAUCUUUCAUUUGAGAAGUUGUUCAUCAUCUCUGAAGCAUGAAGAAAGAUCCAAGAAGUUUUAUGUAUCUUGACAAUUUUGCAAUGUUGCUUACAAUGCGCAACAGUUUGGAGCUCUAGCAGCACACAUUGGAGAUAAUGCUCUUCUUUCAGGCUCAAUAUAUACUCAUUAUCUACAGUGCAAUACAUGAGAAGAGUUUUUGUCCUUGGAAUUAUUCCCAGCUAAAUAGGUCACUGCACCUGUCUAGGUAAAAUUUCAGGACCGAUUUUAACUAAAUGGUAUAGGCUGCAGUGUAUCAAAUGAAAUCAUUUCCAUCCUCUUUUCUUUGCAGAAAAUAUAAUUAAUAUACAACAAGUGAGUCCAGCUAAAAGUCAAACGAGCAAAAUCCCAGAUUGAUGAGCCAAAUAGUUCAUGUGGAAAAAUAUAUUUUGUGUCUAGGCGUGGCCACAAACCUGACGGAAAAUACAGUCAUCUAUUUGCAGCUGUGGCCAGUAUGAAUGACACGCAGCUAAUGUAAUAU